GCGUGAGUGAUGAAGGCCUUAGGGUUGUAAAGCUCUUUCAGCGGGGAAGAUGAUGACGGUACCCGCAGAAGAAGCCCCGGCUAACUUCGUGCCAGCAGCCGCGGUAAUACGAAGGGGGCUAGCGUUGUUCGGAAUUACUGGGCGUAAAGCGCACGUAGGCGGUUAGCAUAGUCAGGUGUGAAAGCCCCGGGCUCAACCCGGGAACUGCACUUGAUACUGGCUGACUAGAGUUCGGGAGAGGAGAGUGGAAUUCCCAGUGUAGAGGUGAAAUUCGU
rnacentral:rRNA from 1 species